AGCGGCGGACGGGUGAGUAAUGCCUAGGAAUCUGCCUGGUAGUGGGGGACAACGUUUCGAAAGGAACGCUAAUACCGCAUACGUCCUACGGGAGAAAGCAGGGGACCUUCGGGCCUUGCGCUAUCAGAUGAGCCUAGGUCGGAUUAGCUAGUUGGUGAGGUAAUGGCUCACCAAGGCUGCGAUCCGUAACUGGUCUGAGAGGAUGAUCAGUCACACUGGAACUGAGACACGGUCCAGACUCCUACGGGAGGCAGCAGUGGGGAAUAUUGGACAAUGGGCGAAAGCCUGAUCCAGCCAUGCCGCGUGUGUGAAGAAGGUCUUCGGAUUGUAAAGCACUUUAAGUUGGGAGGAAGGGCAGUAAGUUAAUACCUUGCUGUUUUGACGUUACCGACAGAAUAAGCACCGGCUAACUUCGUGCCAGCAGCCGCGGUAAUACGAAGGGUGCAAGCGUUAAUCGGAAUUACUGGGCGUAAAGCGCGCGUAGGUGGUUUGUUAAGUUGGAAGUGAAAGCCCCGGGCUCAACCUGGGAACUGCUUUCAAAACUGGCAAGCUAGAGUAUGGCAGAGGGUGGUGGAAUUUCCUGUGUAGCGGUGAAAUGCGUAGAUAUAGGAAGGAACACCAGUGGCGAAGGCGACCACCUGGGCUAAUACUGA
rnacentral:rRNA from 2 species